AUUGAACGCUGGCGGCAGGCCUAACACAUGCAAGUCGAGCGGAUGAAGGGAGCUUGCUCCUGGAUUCAGCGGCGGACGGGUGAGUAAUGCCUAGGAAUCUGCCUGGUAGUGGGGGAUAACGUCCGGAAACGGGCGCUAAUACCGCAUACGUCCUGAGGGAGAAAGUGGGGGAUCUUCGGACCUCACGCUAUCAGAUGAGCCUAGGUCGGAUUAGCUAGUUGGUGGGGUAAAGGCCUACCAAGGCGACGAUCCGUAACUGGUCUGAGAGGAUGAUCAGUCACACUGGAACUGAGACACGGUCCAGACUCCUACGGGAGGCAGCAGUGGGGAAUGGUGGACAGUGGGCGAAAGCCUGAUCCAGCGAGGCCGCGUGUGUGAAGAAGGUCUUCGGAUUGUAAAGCACUUUAAGUUGGGAGGAAGGGCAGUAAGUUAAUACCUUGCUGUUUUGACGUUACCAACAGAAUAAGCACCGGCUAACUUCGUG
rnacentral:rRNA from 1 species